rnacentral:rRNA from 1 species
AUUGAACGCUGGCGGCAGGCCUAACCCCUGCCACUCGAACGAGUGGCGGACGGGUGAGUAAUGUCUGGGAAACUGCCUGAUGUAGGGGGCUAACUACUGGACACGGUAGCUAAUACCGCAUACCAUCGGAUGUGCCCAGAUGGGAUUAGCUAUUAGGUGGGGUAAACGAUCACCUCGGCUACGAUCCCUAGCUGGUCUGAGAGGAUUACCAGCCACACUGGAACGGUGACACGGUCCAGACUCCUACGGGAGGCAGCAGUGGGGAAUAUUGCACAAUGGGAGCAAGCCUGAUGCAGCCAUGCCGCGUGUAUGAAGAAGGCCUUCGGGUUUUAAAGUACUUUCAGCGGGGAGGCGUUACCCGCAGAAGAAGCACCGGCUAACUCCGUGACAGCAGCCGCGGUAAUAC